rnacentral:rRNA from 1 species
AGACACGCAAGUCGAACGACUCUAACAUUCUUAGCAAUAAGAGUGUUAGAAAGUGGCAAACGGGUGAGGAAUAUACAGAUAACCUGCUCUUAAGUGGGGGAUAGCUUUGAGAAAUCAAGGGUAAUACCGCAUGUGUUCUAUUGGACUUAUGUUUGAUAGAAUAAAUCCGCAAGGAGCUUAAGAAGGGGUCUGUAUCUUAUCAGGUAGUUGGUGAGGUAAUGGCUCACCAAGCCUAUGACGGGUAGCUGGCCUGAGAGGGUGACCAGCCACAUAGGGACUGAGACACGGCCCUAACUCCUACGGGAGGCAGCAGUCUAGAAAUUUGGACAAUGGUCGAAAGGCUGAUCCAGCGACACUAUGUGAGGGAUGAAGGUCUUCGGAUUGUAAACCUCUGUCAGGGGGAACGAUGAUGACGGUACCCCCAGAGGAAGCCCCGGCUAAUUCCGUGCCAGCAGCCGCGGUAAUACGGGAGGGGCAAGCGUUGUCCGGAAUCAUUGGGUGUAAAGGGAGCGUAGGCGGAUUUAAAAGUCAGAGAUUAAAACUAUGGGCUCAACUCAUAGAUAUUCUUUGAUACUGUAAAUCUUGAGCUUGAAAGGGGAAAGUGGAAUUCCUGGUGUAACGGUAAAAUGUGUGGAUAUCAGGAAGAACACUCGUGGCGAAGGCGGCUUUCUAUUUCAAUGCUGACGCUGAGGCUCGAAAGUUAGGGGAGCAAACAGGAUUAGAUACCCUGGUAGUCCUAACUGUAAACGAUGAUCAUUAGGUGUUCCUGAAUUUUCGGGAGUGCCGUAGCUAACGCGUUAAAUGAUCCACCUGGGGACUACGGCCGCAAGGUUGAAACUCAAAGAAAUUGACGGGGGCCCGCACAAGCGGUGGAGGAUGUGGUUCAAUUCGAUGAUACGCGAAAAUCUUACCUGGGUUUGACAUGCUAGUGGUACUGACCUGAAAGGGAAGGGACCCGAAAGGGAGCUAGCACAGGUGCUGCAUGGCUGUCGUCAGCUCGUGCCGUGAGGUGUUGGAUUAAGUUCCAUAACGAGCGCAACCCCUGCCUUUAAUUAUUUCCGAGCAAUCGGGAUUGUCUAAAGGGACUACUGAGGUCAACUCAGAGGAAGGGGGGAUGACGUCAAGUCCGCAUGGCCUUUAUGCCCAGGGCCACACACGUCCUACAAUGGCCGGUACAACGGGUUGCCAAACCGCAAGGUGGAGCUAAUCCUUCAAAGCCGGUCUCAGUUCAGAUUGGGGUCUGGAACUCGACCCCAUGAAGUCGGAAUCGCUAGUAAUCACGGAUAAGUACGCCGUGGUGAAUACGUUCUCGGGCCUUGUACACACCGCCUGUCAAGCCAUGGAAGUUCUGGGGACUCGAAGCUCCGUGUAUACGGAAUGAAGGUAAACAGGAUGACUGGGGCUAAGUCAAAACAAGGUA